AUGAAGGCUCCCUCUCAGCUUUUGGUGUUCCUGCUGUUCUGGAUCCCAGGCAUGAUAUGUGACAUCCAGAUGACCCAAUCUCCAUCCUUGUCUGCAUCUCUAGGAGACAGAGUCACCAUUACUUGCAGGGCAAGUGAAAGCAUUAGUAAUUGGUUAGCCUGGUAUCAACAGAAACCAGAUAACUCUCCUAAACUCCUCAUAUAUGAUGCAACCAAUUUGCAAUCUGGGAUUCCUUCAAAGUUCAGUGGCACUGGAUCUGGGACAGAUUUUACUCUCACCAUUAGCAGCCUGCAGCCUGAAGAUGUUGCUACUUAUUACUGUCAACAAUUUAACAGUUUUGGGGUUGACACUUUAGGUUCUCUUAUGUACAGAAACACAGCAUCUGAAAAUACUCUUUCACUCAUCCUUUCCUUCAUAAUUGUUCUUUGCUACUCUCUUAUUGUUUCACAGUUUUCUAGAAGGCAAGGCUGUAAUUUGCUUCUCUAA